GAGCGAUCAAGUGUCGUAAGGGCGUUCGGUGGAUGCCUUGGCACUGAGAGGCGAUGAAAGACGUGGUACGCUGCGAUAAGCCAUGGGGAGCCGCGAACAGGCUUUGAUCCGUGGAUUUCUGAAUGGGGAAACCCACCUCCGAUGAUUGGAACUCCGAGCCCGUGCUUGAGCAAUCAAGUGCGGUCUUUGGCUUCCAAUUGUCAGUAGCGAGGUAUAAAGCCCUGAAUAAAAUAGGGGUUUUAAGCAAACCCGGGGAACUGAAACAUCUAAGUACCCGGAGGAAAGGACAUCAACAGAGACUCCGUUAGUAGUGGCGAGCGAACGCGGACCAGGCCAGUGGCAUACGAAAGAUAAGCCGAACCGGUUGGAAAGCCGGGCCUUAGUGGGUGAUAGCCCCGUAGGCGUAAACUAUCGUAUGUCCUCGAGUAGGGCGGGGCACGUGAAACCCUGCCUGAACAUGGGGGACCACCCUCCAAGCCUAAGUACUCCUCAGUGACCGAUAGCGAACAAGUACCGUGAGGGAAAGGUGAAAAGCACCCCGACGAGGGGAGUGAAAUAGUUCCUGAAACCGGACGCUUACAAACAGGUGAGGCCCGCAAGGGUGACACCGUACCUUUUGUAUUAUGGGCCAGCGACUUAGCGUGACGAGCAAGCUUAAGCCGAUAGGCGAAGGCGCAGCGAAAGCGAGUCUGAAUAGGGCGUUCAGUUCGUCGCGUUAGACCCGAAACCUAGUGAUCUAGCCAUGUGCAGGCUGAAGGUGAGGUAACACUCACUGGAGGGCCGAACCGGUGUCUGUUGAAAAAGACUCGGAUGACGUGUGGCUAGGGGUGAAAGGCCAAUCAAACUAGGAGAUAGCUGGUUCUCCGCGAAAACUAUUUAGGUAGUGCCUCGAGUGAAUACCCUGGGGGGUAGAGCACUGGAUGGGCUAGGGGGUCCUACAGACCUACCAAACCUAACCAAACUCCGAAUACCCAGGAGUAAUACUCGGGAGACAGACGGCGGGUGCUAACGUCCGUCGUCGAGAGGGAAACAACCCGGACCUACAGCUAAGGCCCCUAAUUCGUGGCUAAGUGGGAAAGGAUGUGGGAAUCCCAAAACAACCAGGAGGUUGGCUUAGAAGCAGCCAUCCUUUAAAGAAAGCGUAACAGCUCACUGGUCUAAAUAAGGGUUCCUGCGCCGAAGAUGUAACGGGGCUCAAGCCACGAGCCGAAGCUUAGGAUGCGUCGCAAGACGCGUGGUAGCGGAGCGUUCCGUAAGCCUGUGAAGGGCGACCCGUGAGGGCGCCUGGAGGUAUCGGAAGUGAGAAUGCUGGCAUAAGUAACGACAAACAGUGUGAGAGACACUGUCGCCGUAAGUCCAAGGGUUCCUGCGUAAAGUUAAUCUGCGCAGGGUUAGCCGGUCCCUAAGGCGAGGCCGAGAGGCGUAGUCGAUGGGAACCACGUUAAUAUUCGUGGGCCAGUGGGUAGUGACGGAUGUUUACCGUCGUUCGGGAUUAUUGGAUUUCUCGGGCGGCCGCGAUGUCCCAGGAAAUAGCUCCCACAUUAGACCGUACCCGAAACCGACACAGGUGGACUGGUAGAGUAUACCAAGGCGCUUGAGAGAACUAUGCUGAAGGAACUCGGCAAAUUACCUCCGUAACUUCGGGAUAAGGAGGCCCAUGUGCUGCGCAAGCAGUAUGUGGGGGCACAGACCAGGGGGUGGCGACUGUUUACCUAAAACACAGGGCUCUGCGAAGUCUAAAGACGACGUAUAGGGUCUGACGCCUGCCCGGUGCCGGAAGGUUAAGAGGAGGGGUGCAAGCUCUGAAUCGAAGCCCCGGUAAACGGCGGCCGUAACUAUAACGGUCCUAAGGUAGCGAAAUUCCUUGUCGGGUAAGUUCCGACCUGCACGAAUGGCGUAACGACUUCCCCGCUGUCUCCAGCAUAGACUCAGUGAAAUUGAAUUCCCCGUGAAGAUGCGGGGUUCCCGCGGUCAGACGGAAAGACCCCAUGAACCUUUACUGUAGCUUUGCACUGGUAUUCGUGUUGGCAUGUGUAGGAUAGGUGGUAGGCUUUGAAGCUUGGGCGCCAGCCUGAGUGGAGCCAUCCUUGAAAUACCACCCUUGUAGACAUGGAUAUCUAACCGCGGCCCUUCAACGGGGUCCGGGACAGUGCAUGGUGGGCAGUUUGACUGGGGCGGUCGCCUCCCAAAGAGUAACGGAGGCGCGCGAAGGUAGGCUCAGACCGGUCGGAAAUCGGUCGUUGAGUGCAAUGGCAUAAGCCUGCCUGACUGCAAGACUGACAAGUCGAGCAGAGACGAAAGUCGGUCAUAGUGAUCCGGUGGUUCCACGUGGACGGGCCAUCGCUCAACGGAUAAAAGGUACUCUGGGGAUAACAGGCUGAUGACGGCCAAGAGUCCAUAUCGACGCCGUCGUUUGGCACCUCGAUGUCGGCUCAUCACAUCCUGGGGCUGGAGAAGGUCCCAAGGGUUCGGCUGUUCGCCGAUUAAAGUGGUACGUGAGCUGGGUUCAGAACGUCGUGAGACAGUUCGGUCCCUAUCUGCCGUGGGUGUUGAAGACUUGAGAGGAUCUGUCCCUAGUACGAGAGGACCGGGAUGGACACACCUCUGGUGGAGCUGUUGUCGCGCCAGCGGCAGUGCAGCGUAGCUAUGUGUGGAAUAGAUAACCGCUGAAUGCAUCUAAGCGGGAAACUAACCUCAAAACGAGGUCUUCCUUGAGAACCGUGGUAGACCACCACGUUGAUAGGCCGGGUGUGGAAGCGCAGCAAUGUGUGUAGCUUACCGGUACUAAUCGUUCGAUAGGCUUGAACGCUCUCAUGA
rnacentral:rRNA from 1 species